rnacentral:siRNA from 1 species
UCCAGAUUUCAUCAAUACGAC